rnacentral:rRNA from 1 species
AGCGAACGCUGGCGGCAGGCUUAACACAUGCAAGUCGAGCGGGCAUCUUCGGAUGUCAGCGGCAGACGGGUGAGUAACACGUGGGAACGUACCCUUCGGUUCGGAACAACUCUGGGAAACUGGAGCUAAUACCGGAUACGCCCUUAUGGGGAAAGGUUUACUGCCGAAGGAUCGGCCCGCGUCUGAUUAGCUAGUUGGUGGGGUAACGGCCUACCAAGGCGACGAUCAGUAGCUGGUCUGAGAGGAUGAUCAGCCACACUGGGACUGAGACACGGCCCAGACUCCUACGGGAAGCAGCAGUGGGGAAUAUUGGACAAUGGGCGCAAGCCUGAUCCAGCCAUGCCGCGUGAGUGAUGAAGGCCUUAGGGUUGUAAAGCUCUUUUGUCCGGGACAAUAAUGACGGUACCGGAAGAAUAAGCCCCGGCUAACUUCGUG